CCCCGGCUCAAGGCACAAGAUAUCAUAGAAACACAUAGUAAAGCACAGAAGCAGAUGACAUAACAUAAAUACGGCACCCAUAAGGAAUAUAAAACAGAGGAAAGCACACAGAUUCGUAAUAAGCAUGAAACACUGAAUACGGAAUCAUAACGGGAGUAAAAAAUAAAAAACCCCACCAAGUAAUUCCCAACACUAGCGACCCAAUCUGGCCCUACUCUUCUGCCGUAAUUCGCGUCUUCCAGACCUUCCUAUCUAGGGUCAUGUCCUCGGUAAGCUGUAACUGUUCCAUGUCCCGCCUAAUCACCUCACCCCAGUACUUCUUCCCACCACGAGCCUCUCACACCUACGGCCCGGGGCAUCCAUGCCCCUCCUCUUCACGUGUCCGAACCACCUCAAUCGUGCUUCCCGCAUCUUACACUCCACUGAAGUCACACCAACCUUCUCCCGGAUAGUCUCAUUCCGAACUCUAUCCCCUCGAGUCAGUCCACACAUCCAGCGCAACAUCCGCAUUUCUGCCACCUUCAGUCUUUGGAUGUGGGAGUUCUUAACUGGCCAACACUCCGCUCCAUACAGCA
rnacentral:lncRNA from 1 species